rnacentral:rRNA from 1 species
UACAGGGGGUGCAAACGUUGCUCGGAAUCAUUGGGCGUAAAGCGCACGUAGGCGGUCUGUUACGUCGGAUGUGAAAGCCCUUGGCUUAACUGAGGAAGUGCAUCCGAAACUGGCAGGCUAGAGUACUAAAGAGGGUCGCGGAAUUCCCGGUGUAGAGGUGAAAUUCGUAGAUAUCGGGAGGAACACCGGUGGCGAAGGCGGCGACCUGGGUAGAUACUGACGCUGAGGUGCGAAAGCGUGGGGAGCAAACAGG